rnacentral:lncRNA from 1 species
AUUUGUGACAUAAUAGCAUAGUGGGGGGGGGGAGCGUCACAGAACGAGGAAAAGAAUCAAGCAGAGUAGGUACUUCUUUCUUUUUUCUUUUAUGGGAUCCCUACUUCAUGCUUCCAGUUCAAAUGGCAACACUUCCUGUUUAAAUUGUUUACAUUUCUAAUUAAAUGCUAAAAGUUGCAUUGCAGCUGCAUGAAGAUCUGUUGUUGUUGUUAUAAGAAGAAGAAAAACACCUCAAUGAGUUUUACACGUUGAACCAUUGCAGUCAGAAAAGAAACACCAUUCAGUUCAAUGGCACUUACUUGAAUACUUAGGACUACAGUCAUGCCAUAUGGUUGGUCAGGGAUGUGAACCCAGGUAUGUCCAGCCAAAUUCCAACAUGCUGAUUGUCACACCACAUUCAGCCAGCUCACUUUUCCAUUACUAUUAGCUGUUCCUAAUAAGCUGGGUAUUAUGGUAUAUAUUGCUACUGUUAGUGGAUAUGUAUCUUUGUAUAUAGCUAUUUGUCUAUCAUGGCAACAUAGAUGCCUGCAUUUUUGAAUUAUCCUUGGAGGUGUGGCUAUGGAGGCUGUCAUAAUAAGGUCCUGAACUUCUAAAUUUACCACUACAGUGCUGCGGAAGCGUGUGUUUGCCUCAUUUCUGUGUAAUCACAACCAGCACCUACACAUCUGAGAUUACAUAAUAGUAAUAAUAAUAAUAAUAAUAAUAAUAAUAAAAGAACUGGGGCUUUGGGAAUAAGUCACCACUUGCUUACGCAUUUUGAGCCUUUAGCGGAAACUGACUGCAUAUUCCCCACAUUUUCCUCCUUGCCUCAGUGAGGGCUGGAAACUUUGCUUUCUUGUCAUUUCUAAAAAUAUGUUGACCCCAAGCAAUCCAGACUGAGUGUUGUGAUAUACAGUACAGUGGUACCUCUAGAUGCGAACGGGAUCUGUUCCGGAGCCCUGUUCGCAUCUAGAAGCAAAUGUAACCAGCGAUGGCACGUCUGCGCACGCGCACGUCACUUUUCACCGCUUCUGCGCAUGCGCAUGAUGUCAUUUUGAGCGCCUGCGCAUGCGCUAGCGGCGAAACCCAGAAGUAACGCGCUCCGUUACUUCCGGGUUGCCGCGGAACGCAACUCGAACACGCUCAUCCCGAAGCACAUUCAACCCGAGGUAUGACUGUACAAGGAAGCAAGACUGCAUACACAUAUGUACACACAGAAGCCCUGAACUUUUGUAUUCUUCAUUUGAUUUGUUCUAGGGUGGAGGCACAUUGACAGUCCGGAUUUCCAGCAGAUGUCACUACCGUCAUCCUUGCCUGUGGGGUUGUGUUGAUUCCUAAACAGCUCACACAGAGGCAUCAGCUGUUUGUUCACACAGUCCUGCAUCACUUGCCUCUCCUUCUGUAAUGACAACCUGCCCAACUCCAGCUCCUUUCAUCUCUGAAUUUUAAAGUGUGUUUUAAGCCCUCAUUAAAUCUCACUACACCCAAUGUGAAGGAGGUGUUAAGUGUUAUUAACUGCAUUGUACACAGAGGGAAACUGAGGCACAGAGCGGUCAGACAACUUGCCUGCAGUCACAGAGGAAGUAUGUGACAAAGCCAUUAAUAGAACCUGCGACUGCUGGAUCACCACCUCCCUUUUUAGCUUUGACCAUUCCAAUAAAUAC